rnacentral:tRNA from 1 species
GCCAAUUUGGCUCAGUGGAUAGAGCGUUGGCCUGUGGACCAAAGGGCUCUGGGUUCAAUUCCCGUCAAGGGCA